rnacentral:rRNA from 1 species
CCUACGGGAGGCAGCAGUGAGGAAUAUUGGUCAAUGGCCGGAAGGCUGAACCAGCCAUGCCGCGUGAAGGUCAGUGCCCUAUGGGCGUUAAACUUCUUUUGUGCGGGAGCAAUAAUGGUCACGUGUGGCCAGACGAGAGUACCGUACGAAUAAGCAUCGGCUAACUCCGUGCCAGCAGCCGCGGUAAUACGGGGGAUGCAAGCGUUAUCCGGCUUUAUUGGGGUUAAAGGGUGCGUAGGCUGUGAGGUAAGUCAGCGGUGAAAUGCCCCCGCUCAACGGGGUGAAGUGCCAUUGAUACUGCCUUGCUGGAAUGCGGAUGCCGUGGGAGGAAUGUGUGGUGGAGCGGUGAAAUGCAUAGAUAUCACACAGAACACCGAUUGCGAAGGCAUCUCACGAAUCCGCGAUUGACGCUGAUGCACGAAAGCGUGGGUAUCAAACAGGAUUAGAUACCCCUGUAGUC